CGGGUGCUUGCUGCUGAAAGCAGAACAGAACAGGGCUUCUCCCUGUCUCCAAUCAGACCCCAAGGGAGCAUCCCGUGUGGAUGAUGGUGGCUAGAUGCCAAAUGAAGUGAAAUAUCUUCUUUUCUCCGGCUGUUAACUUUUUUCUUGUUUAAGGAAGGGAAGGAUAAUGACAUUUAGCACUUUACAACUCAGCAGUAAAAUGAGCAGAUGGAAACAGAUCCCCUGCACGGUGGGCUUGCUUCCAGCAAGAAACCCUCCUCUGCUCCAUGGGUCAAAGUCACUGUCGGGCUUGCUGGUGGGCAUAGAAUCACAGUGGCUCCUCUUCCUCCUGCCCCAAUUCCUCCGGGCCUCACACCUGGCCCUACACCUGCCCCUGGUAAACACUUCUUUGCCUCUGCUUGCUCUGUCCCACCUACCUAGAGCACUUGUCAUCCCAGGUCUGGUUGGAACACAAUCUCUCUGUUAGAUGAGAAAGUGUGUUCGUUAGCUUUUCUUUGCUGUCACAAAAUACCUGUGAAAAACACCUUAUCAGAGGAAAGACUGAUUUUGGCUCACUGUUUCAGAGGUUUCAAUUCAUAGUUGGUCAACUACAUUGCUUUACACCUGAGAUGUGGCAGAACAUCACUCUGGAAAGGCAUGGUGAAGGGAAGUUGCUCACCUCAUAGUAGUAAGGAAGCAGAGAGAGAGAUAGGAAAGGGCCACAGACAGGACACAGUCAGAGGGCAUGCCCCCUAGGACUCCUGCCCUUCAGCUAGGCCCCACCUCUAGUCUUCUCCCAAUAGUCCAUUCGGCUCUGAAUCCCUCAGUGGGCUCAUCCAUGGUGAGGUCAGAGCCCUCAUAAUCCAAUCACUUCCCCAAAGCCCCACCUCCGGACAUUGGUGCGGUGGAGACCUGGUCUUCCACACCUGAGCCUUUGGGGGACAUUCUAGAUCUAAAUCAUGACAGGGAUGAGGAAGAGGGAGGUGAUCCUCAUGACAGAGUAGGAAACAAACUUCUGAAGAAGUUUGGAGAAAUUCCAGCUGGUCACAAAAGGACAAUUGAACUAGGCAGGGUUGGUCCCCCAGGGAAGUCAUAGAGAAUCAUUGCUGUCAUCACCAUCAAAACAAUUUGCUAAAAACAUGCCAUGGCCAGGCAGUGAGCAUGUGCUCCUGUG
rnacentral:lncRNA from 1 species